GUGCUACUUGAUUCAAGGAUUAGAUGAUCAUUGUUUGGGGAAAAGAGAUUGGCGCCAGAGAUAGCAAUACGGUCGCCUCAUAUGUAGUGAUCUAAACAGGAAUACGUGUUUGGAAUUUGUGUCUUCCUGGGUUUAUUUUGACUAACAGGAUUAUGAAUGCCACUUGAGAAUGUGUUUAUGCUAAAAUAAUGGAAAAUUUGAUGGAUAAUAAGGAAAUUGGGAUGUCAAGUUCCGUAAAAUUGGCGAAGGAU
rnacentral:misc_RNA from 1 species